rnacentral:tRNA from 1 species
GAGCCGUUAGCUCAGUUGGUAGAGCACCUGACUUUUAAUCAGGGGGUCCAGGGUUCGAAUCCCUGACGGCUCACCA